GGCUGCGCGCCGUCGCGGGCUCCGCGCGUUGCCAUAGAGACCCGUGAGCGCUGAGUGGCGAGCUGCGGAGACCGUUGGCUUCUGCGGACACUGUUGGCUUCUCCGGAGCAGAGCGCCAUGUCUUUCCGCGACCUCCGCAAUUUUACAGAGAUGAUGCGAGCCUUGGGAUACCCUCGAAAUAUUUCUAUGGAAAAUUUCCGCACACCAAAUUUCGGACUUGUAUCUGAAGUGCUUCUCUGGCUUGUGAAAAGGUAUGAACCUCAGACUGACAUCCCUUCUGAUGUUGAGACUGAACAAGACCGAGUUUUCUUCAUUAAGGCAGUUGCUCAGUUCAUGGCCACCAAGGCACAUAUAAAACUCAAUACUAAGAAGCUUUAUCAAGCAGAUGGGCACGCAGUGAAAGAGCUGUUGAAGAUCACGUCUGUCCUGUACAACGCUAUGAUGACCAAAGGGAUGGAGGGCUCUAAGACAGGAGAGGAAGAUACCAGCAAGUUCAAGUUUGAUAUUAGCUCAAAGAUUGCAGAUUUGAAAGCAGCCAGGCAGCUUGCUUCAGAAAUCACUUCCAAAGGAGCAUAUCUGUAUGACUUGCUGGGCAAGGAGGUGGAGUUGAGGAAACUGAGAACAGAAGCAAUUGCCAGACCUCUGGAAAUAAAUGAGAUGGAAAAAGUGAUGAGAAUUGCAAUAAAAGAAACUUUGGCACAGGUUCAGGAAACUAAAGACCUGCUCAAUAACGUGGCCUCUGAUGAAGCUAACUUAGAAGCCAAAAUUGAAAAGAGGAAAUUAGAGCUGGAAAGAAAUCGGAAGCGACUCCAGACUCUGCAGAGUGUCAGGCCAGCCUUUAUGGAUGAAUACGAGAAGGUUGAGGAAGAGCUGCAAAAGCAGUAUGACAUUUACCUGGAGAAAUUUCGAAAUCUGGCUUAUCUGGAACAACAACUCGAGGACCAUCAUAGGAUGGAGCAAGAGAGGUUUGAGGAAGCUGAAAACACUCUCCGUCUGAUGCAGAACAAGCUCAAGGAGGAAGAGAAGCGGCUGCUCAAGACUGAAAGUCAGCCAGGAGAGCCCGAAGCAGCCCUAAGUGAUAAGCCUGCAUGGAGUUUGUCCCCUUCUGAGAGGCCCGGCACAGGUAAUGAUGACUCAGACAUUGACAUCCAGGAGGACGAUGAACCCGACAGUGAACUGGAGGAGAGACGGCUGUCCAAGCCACGGACUGCCAUGGAGGUGCUCAUGCAAGGAAGACCCAGCAAGCGCGUCGUGGGCACAAUGCAAGGUGGAGACUUGGACGACGACAUGGAAGCAGCACCAGCUCUCUUAGGUAAAUGCAAGACUUCCAGCUCCAAGAAGCAGCUCCUGCCCUCCUUGCUGUCCACUGAUGGGUCUCUGGGCUGCCAAGAGCAAAGCCGCAUCCCGCGAGCUUCAGUGCAGCUCCUGAGACGUCCACGGGAAAGCCAGCUGCAGCUCCAGCCUGGUUAGAUGAUAUGUUUCUGUGUGUAUUCCGGCCAGCAAUAAGUAGACACUGGUCCCAUUCUUCUGCAGCCAUCUCCUGACUGCUGCUCUGCCAAGCCCUUCCUUCGCAUGGGUGUUGCUGGUUAUUGAGCUACUAGUGAAAAGGAGGACUCGGAGGACAGUAAGAUUGACGUGGAGGAUGACGAGGAAGACGACGACGACCUGGAAGACGAG